UACAGAGGUCUCAAGCGUUGUUCGGAUUCAUUGGGCGUAAAGGGUGCGUAGGCGGCGCGGUAAGUCGGGUGUGAAAUCUCGGAGCUUAACUCCGAAACUGCAUUCGAUACUGCCGUGCUUGAGGACUGGAGAGGAGACUGGAAUGGUCGGUGUAGCGGUGAAAUGCGUAGAGAUCGACCAGAACACCGGUGGCGAAGGCGGGUCUCUGGACAGUUCCUGACGCUCAGGCACGAAAGCCAGGGGAGCAAACGGG
rnacentral:rRNA from 1 species